GCCCAAGUAGCUCAGUGGUAGAGCAUUUGCAUGGUAAGUAAAAGGUCGUAGGUUCGAUUCCUAUCUUGGGCA
rnacentral:tRNA from 1 species